rnacentral:rRNA from 1 species
UACGUAGGGGGCAAGCGUUGUCCGGAAUCAUUGGGCGUAAAGAGCGUGUAGGCGGCCCGGUAAGUCCGCUGUGAAAGUCCAGGGCUCAACCCUGGGAUGCCGGUGGAUACUGUCGGGCUCGAGUCCGGAAGAGGAGUGUGGAAUUCCUGGUGUAGCGGUGAAAUGCGUAGAUAUCAGGAGGAACACCGGUGGCGGAGGCGCUCAUCUGGCCCAAUACUGACGCUGAAGCGCGAAAGCUAGGGGAGCAAACGGG